rfam:Flavobacterium sp. 316 scaffold_0, whole genome shotgun sequence.
GUGCCUUAAUUAAAAAAUAAAUGAUACCGUUUUUAAACAAUACUUGGUGGUGGAACAACUUACGUCAAACGUCGUGAGCAAAUCCUGCUAUAGUAUAAUUUAAAAAAUAUAAUACAUAUAAAAGGCUUGUC